rnacentral:sRNA from 1 species
CAAUAGUUUGCUAAUAAAUAGAGGAGAAAAUUGUCUUUCGAAG